rnacentral:rRNA from 1 species
CGGUGAAAUGCGUAGAGAUCUGGAGGAAUACCGGUGGCGAAGGCGGCCCCCUGGACGAAGACUGACGCUCAGGUGCGAAAGCGUGGGGAGCAAACAGGAUUAGAUACCCUGGUAGUCCACGCCGUAAACGAUGUCGACUUGGAGGUUGUGCCCUUGAGGCGUGGCUUCCGGAGCUAACGCGUUAAGUCGACCGCCUGGGGAGUACGGCCGCAAGGUUAAAACUCAAAUGAAUUGACGGGGGCCCGCACAAGCGGUGGAGCAUGUGGUUUAAUUCGAUGCAACUCGAAGAACCUUACCUACUCUUGACAUCCAGAGAACUUAGCAGAGAUGCUUUGGUGCCUUCGGGAACUCUGAGACAGGUGCUGCAUGGCUGUCGUCAGCUCGUGUUGUGAAAUGUUGGGUUAAGUCCCGCAACGAGCGCAACCCUUAUCCUUUGUUGCCAGCGAUCCGGCCCGGGAACUCAAAGGAGACUGCCAGUGAUAAACUGGAGGAAGGUGGGGAUGACGUCAAGUCAUCAUGGCCCUUUACUAGUAGGGCUUCACACGUGCUUACAAUGGCCCAUACAAAGAGAAGCGAACUCGCGAGAGCAAGCGGACCUCAUAAAGUGCGUCGUAGUCCGGAUCGGAGUCUGCAACUCGACUCCAUGAAGUCGGAAUCGCUAGUAAUCGUGGAUCAGAAUGCCACGGUGAAUACGUUCCCGGGCCUUGUACACACCGCCCGUCACACCAUGGGAGUGGGUUGCAAAAGAAGUAGGUAGCUUAACCUUCGGGAGGGCGCUACCACUUGGAUCAGUCAAAUGUG